rnacentral:lncRNA from 1 species
AAAAUUAAGGAAUACAAUUCGAGAGACAAUUUUCUGUAAACUGAAAGAUUACAGUAACAUAGUCAAAAGAAAUUAUAACAUGUCUUUAUUAGUAGUUACGUUAAAAAUUUGCAUUAGAUUAAGAAUCCUAUUCCUUCAAGUUGUAUUGAUGUCCCACAAGCAUAUUUGGUAGUCAUUUGAAUCAUUCAAUUGAUCAUCCUGCUUUAAUUCAAUCCAUGAUAAAACAUAGCCUUUUGUAUAGUGACCUCUCAACCUCAAAUGAGGAUUGCAAGCACCAUUUAAAGGAGGCUUCAAUGGAUGUUAGCUAUAAUCAGAAACAUAAACUUUAGUACUAACUAUCUUGGUGUCAAUAAAUCAAGCAAAAACUGCAUCCGAUCCCCCACCCCAAAAUAAAAUAUAAUUAUAAAAAUGUGUGUGUGUACUUUAUCCAGUUUAAGAAAUACGUAUAGUAGUCCCCACAUAUCCAUAGGUUGAGCAUGACCAGUAGCAAUGACAGAAUUGAAAUGAGUACCCCACAAAUGAUAUCUCCUACAUGAUGAAAGAUCUUAUUUAGAAGUAACUAAUAUGCAAAGACAACUUAUUUUAAUGCUUGUGAAACUUCUUCAAUUAUGAAUCUUGAAGAAAAAGGCAGCAAAAGGAAAAUACAAAUGUCAUUGGCAAAGAACUUUUAAAAUAGCCUCAUUGCUAAGUUCCAUAAUAUGUAAGCAUAUUUAUCAUUUUUAUACAUAACAAACAAAUAAAUAACUAUUUCUUUGAAAAAUAUUAUAGUUUGUGACAGGAGAUGUAUAGCAAAAAAAAUCUUGAAAAGGAGGAUAAAACUUUCAAAAGUGGUGGCCUUCAAUAUUUUAGUUUUGAAGGCCUAUGAGUAUAUAUAUUCAAGUUUAAUGUGAAAGUUCAGGGAACAUUCUACCACCAUUUGGAAAUUCACGAAGAACGUUAUUCUACACCAAAUUCAAGUUUUAGAUAUUACCAAGUUUACAUUCCAAUCAUUUUAUUAUUCGACAUCACUGCGGAAUUGAUUAAUCAAAGCAACACGUCACUUUAAUUAAUUGUCUAGGUGCUUAAAUAUACAGUCCAAUUAAUUCCUAUGUUGAGCUGUCGAUUUGCAUAAACUAAAUAGAAUAAUACAAAACACCACACGAUAUGAUGACGGAGAAACCCCAACGUGGGUAGAACUCCGGGACUAAGCCAGUAAGUUCCACUAUACCAAUUCAGCCAGUACAAGUUCUGCCAAACUCCGUACCCAGUCAGACCCGCUGUUCCAAUCUCACGAUCUACUGCCGUAGAUACUACUAGUCUCUCGCUAGCUUCCCGAUCUACCUCUUGCAGCUUAAUCUAUUGUCCAAUACAACCUCCUGGUCUUUAGCCGAUUGUAUCACCAAGUGGAAUUCCAAAACCUUAUGUUCUUGUCCAGUUCCUGCGCUUGUCGGCCACCUCCCACAGUCCCCCUUUGCGAGAGUCCCUUCCUCAACAGAUGAAGAAGUAUCGGUGUUUUGUCUUCACAAACUUGAUAUUUUCCCCCAAAAUAUUGGUUGCCAGAUCACAAGAAUAAGAUUGAUAAAUUCUCCAGUUGGUUGUGUUCUUGGAUCUCUUCACAAUGAUAUGAAUGUGCUCUAAUAUGAAAGCAUAAUAAAGCAACCCAUUAUUUUCGUUCACGGCCUUUGUAUUUAUAGUUGGGGGCAACUUGGAGUCCUAGGCCAUGUCAAACUUUCCAGAAAUCGAAAAUAUGACUUUUCAUAUAACACUGUCGCUCAAACAAAAAGCGAGCGACGAGCGAAGUACAUUCUGCUUUUCUCGCUCGAGAAGCGGCAGGGCAAACAGCUAGCGAACUUCUGGCGUCGCGACCUUGAUUUGAACCAAACACUCAAACCCUAGUCCCUACCAUCUAGUUUCGCUAAAUUGCACCCGAAGUCCCUAACUUUUAUAACAUUGUACCAUUGAGUCCAUGACUUUUACAAAUUUACAAUUUAGUCCUUUUGUCCACAGAAUCGCCAAUUACACCUUUAGACCUAACAUAAUGAAACCAAAAGCGGAAAACUGUGCAAAAGAAGAAAGGCUAAAAUUUUUAUCAAUGUAAUCUUGUUA